ACUCACUCAUUUUCUUUCUCUCUUUUCCUCUCCACUCCUUCCCUCACUCACUUCUUUUCUCCCUAGCCCUAUGACCUCUCCCUAACUCCCUCCUUCUCUCUACCCUGUAUUAGGAUUCUACUCCUUGCUCAGCCCAGUCUUUGUGAGUGGGUUAGCCAAGCGUGUCACAGUGAGAACCAGUGAAUGGUAAUGAACUGUGUGUGUGUGUGUUUGUGUGUGUUGGUGAGGGUGUGUGUCUCAGAGAAGGAGGGAGUAUUCAGUGAGUAUGAGGGCAGAGCCAGCAGAGAGAGGGUGAAGAGCGGAUAGAGGAACGAGAGCGGAGAGAGGGAGGAGAGCAGACAGAGGGAACAAGGCAGUCGGCUGAUUCACCACCCCUCCAUCCAUCCCUUCUUUCUCUUUCUCCUCUUCUGCUUCAGUGGCGGGGUAGUGGAGGUGUGUGUGGGAAAAGAAACCCCCCCCUCCACACACAAACAGACCACUGCUCCUAAUCCCUUCCACCUGCCUCCAUCCCUCUCCCUUCUCCCAUUGUCAUUACUACCUCCAGCUCUGUCUCAUUCCUUCUCACCCCAUCCCAUCAUCCCAUCUAUCUCUCUAUCGCUCUUUCUUUCUCUCCAGCCCCCACGCCCUUCUAACCCACACGCUCUGUGUCACCACCGUGGUGAAGAAAAUGAUCGGCGAACAAGCUGGAAAAGGUAGAGGAGAGGACAGAGCGAGGAGAAGGAGAGGAAGAGUGAACUCUGUCCAUUCAAAACAAUCCAGACUUUCCUGUUUCCCUGAUGGAUUAUCGCCGGCCCCACGGACAGAAGGAGGAGUGGAGGAGAAAAGAAAAAGACCAAUAGAGGAAGAGAGCAUACAAGAAUUGAGCUCUGGACAGCCAGUUCGCCUAAAGGUCUUGUCUGCAGGCUGUGCUUGGGACUCUGGCUAAUUGUGGAGUAUUCUCAGGACUCCAGCGGAGGAGAGAGAGAUGCUUUCUCUUUCUUUUCAUUCUAAUUAAUUGCCCUCUAUGCAAAUACUCAAAGAGCCUUUCUCUUUGAGGGCGAUAAUUUAAUAUUCUGUUCAUAUCAAUAUUUUCCAUUUGUUUUUUCCACACAUACUGUACUUGUAGGCUGCCACUCAAAAAGAAAAAAAAAAAGAAAAAAACAUACAAAAACUCUCUGACAUCCCUAGGGGGUUUGGGAGCGGGUGUACAGAGAAAUUAGAGAAUGAACGUGAGAGUGAGAGAUAAAACAUAAUAGUGUGGAGUCUACUAGACAUAAGUAUUUCCCAGAGUGGUGUGAGGGAAGAAAGAAAGGAAAAUACUAUUUUCACCUAAGGUCUAACCAGUGCUGUGGAUAGACAGAGUAAGACAUCGGUCCCUGCUCAUCGGUCCCUGCUCAUACAACACCGAGACUGAGAAGAAUGCACAAGACUGAGGAGAGAACGGACGGACAAACACACAGACAAGUCAGCCCUCCGACCCCAAUCGCAUUCUGUCCAUCUCUGUUAGGGUGCAGCGCCCUACACACACAUACACUUACUCACACACACACUAACUCAUACACACACUUAUGCACACACUCAUACACAGACACAAAAGAACCUUGGCUUUGUCUGGGACCCUUUUCUUUUCAGAAUUAUUUAUUUUCUAGCACCCAUUUUUCCCUCUCUCUGCCCCCAUCUCUCCUCCAUCUCUCCAUAUAGACUCUGAGAACACCAUAUCUCCACUACACAGACCUCUACACUUCCUGAUUCUUAGAUUGAUUGGUCUUUCAGUUCCUCCCUUCUACAUAUCUCUACUUCUCUUCCUCUCCCUUUACCUCUUUUUCUCACCGUUCUUCUUUCACUCCUUUUCUCUCUCUGUCUCUCUCCCUCUCUCACACUCCUUUGCUUUCCUGCCCCCCUCGUCACACCUCACUCCCUCUCUCUUCUCCUACCGCUCCCUCACUUGCCCGGUCUCAUUGUCUUCACAAACAGCAGUGUUAGUGUGUGUGUGUACGGGGGAACCAAUCCUUUCUGCAGUGGAGCCACGGAGCACAGGGGAGCCUGAGGUACUACAUGUGUCUCAAUCAAACCAUGCCCCAGUUCACCUUUGCCUGUUUCUGUGGUCUGCACGGCUUCUGCCGGAGACGGACAAAGAAUAAAAAUAAGAAAAGGGAGGAACAAGUGGAGAUGGAGGAGAAACAGAGGGAUCAGGAGACAGAGGUGUGAAGGAAGUCUGGAGGGACUUCACCCUCUUCAUCUUCUCAGAGACUCUGUUUUGGUCAUAGUUGAAAAGCGGUUGAAACCCCUUCCUGUGUACCUCAGUCUUUGGGAAUGAAGGCAGGAUAUUUUCACCAAACACACAGUACCACUGAUUUUUACCUAAUUGAACUUAAAACUGUGGUCUGUAAUUUCUUAGGAAUUUUUUUUUUACUCCAUGUAGGCCAGUACACUGCCAAAUUGAAUUACAGAUUGUGCCUUUUAGAUGGGGAGAUGGAAAGGUAUGUAAUGAUGGCAUUCUUCUUUCUACGUCCAGAUCCUUUUCCAUUAUUCACACUGUGGUCCGUCUCUCCUCCACCUGAAGCAGCUGUCCAAUCAGCAGCUUCACUGGACAGUGUAGGUAGAAGUCAAAGGUUAAAACAAAUGUUAUUUACAAUCUCCUCCACCAAGGGGAUGGGCACACACACAUGUAAAUUAAAGAUAUGCAUGGGUCUGUAAAUGCGACUCACUGCCUCGAUUACAGUAGGUAUUAAGUAACAAAAUUAUAUAUAUAUAUUUUUUACAUUAGAUAAAAGUAGAGACUCAGAGGUAGAAAAUUGUAUAUCAUACACUGCAGUUGAGGAACAAUGGGAAAGUAAUGAUAUUUGAAAGUCGAUAAACUUGUAACUGCACAAUGAACCAUAAUUCAUAACCCAUACAGUAAUAGCAAUACAAACUGAAUGUCAUAGCUAGCCACCAUGCAUGAAUCUGCAGGUAGGUAAAGCUAAUCAACUAUGUUCAAUGUUAGCUAGCUAGCUAACAUUGGCCUAUAACUAGCAAUGCAAAUGGAUUUCUGAUAUACUAAUAAUAUUCCUACACAGAUCAUACACAUAACGUUAGCUAGUGAGCCAACAAGCUAACGUUCGCUAGCCUUCUAACAGUUCGCUUUAACUUCUUGCGUCGAGCCAUCCCGGAUCCGGGAUCGUGAAUACAGCCUCAAACUCAUUACCAUAACACAACGUUAACUAUUCAUGAAAAUCGCAAAUGAAAUGAAAUUAAUAUGCUAGCUCUCAAGCUUAGCCGUUUGUUAACAACACUGUCAUCUCAGAUGUUCAAAAUAUGCUUCUCAACCAUAGCAAAACAAGCAUUUGUGUAACAGUAUUGAUAGCUAGCGUAGCAUUUAGCGUUAGCAUCAGCAGGAAACAUUUUCACAAAAACCAGAAAAUCAUUCAAAUAAAAUAAUUUACCUUUGAAGAACUUCAGAUGUUUUCAAUGAGGAGACUCUCAGUUAGAUAGCAAAUGCUCCGUUUUUCCUGAAAGAUUAUUUGUUUAGGAGAAAUCGCUCCGUUUGGUGCGUCACGUUUGGCUACCAAAAAAAAAAAAAAAA